UUCUAUGUGCAGUAGUCCCCUAGCACUGGAGUUCUGCCGUUCUCAUUGACCGGUAAACUUGGUCUUGGCUGGCUGUUCUCGCUGAUCUUCUGGGGAGGGGCCUGUUGCCGUGGUUUCCAAAUGUCUCUGCCGGAAGCGGAAUUGCCCCGCCCUUGCCCCCUCCCGGCUGAGUAAUCUGCUCGCGUUUGCUCUCCGGGGCUUUUGUUCCCUGCGAGCUUUCCGUCCAGCUUUGGAGGCGAGAGUGAAAAUGGCGGCCUCCCAAUCUCCGCCCCGGAGGAGCCGAGAACUCGGGGCCCCACUCCUCAGUGAGCCCCCAGAGAAAAGCCGUCAGUCACUCCCGCUCUCCGGCCGUCAGUCUCCCCGCUCUCCGGCCGCACCCCGUGCUCGCCCGGCCUGUGACCGCGCAUUUCUAUCUCUGGCACCCGACCCUGGGUGGAGUCUCCAAACCCAGCAGAUCCCUGCGGUGCACUCCCGCGCUGCUCCUCCCGGGGGAAGAAGGCAGACCUGGAUCGUUCUCUGCCUGUGCUCCUACUGUUCCCGGGACGUACAUCACUUCCACAUAGCGAUCAUCCCAUGAGUCCCAGUCAUUCUGGGACUGUCCCUAAGCAGAAUCGAUAGCAAGAAGACAACAAAUACAAGAUACAUCAGCAGCGGCAGCCACAGUCUGUAUCCACCUGUGCAUGGCUCGUGCAGACCACCCGAGAGUUCAGCAUCUUCCUGUCUGACAAUCCGAUGCCCAAAUGGAGAUUUUUGUGGAAUCUGAACCAAAGGAUUGAUGGGAAACCCAAAUCCUAGCAUGUCGUGUGGACCACCCGAGAGUUCAGCAUCUUCCUGACAAUCUGAUGCCCAAAUGGAGAUUUCUGUGGAAUCUGAACCAGAGGAUUGAUGGGAAACCCAAAUCCUAGCAUGGACAAAGCAAAAGGAAGUUGUAGAGAGAGGGGAAAUGACAGCACCAUUUGGGUCACAGAGGAGAUGCUUCUGGAACAACUGAGAAAAAUGAACCUGGAGAGACAGAAGGUUACAAAUAGUGACUUCUCCCAUCCUGAGUCAGAUGGGCUGAGAACCUCAGCCCAUCUGACCCUCACUGCCACUUUUCAAGAACUUGAAGUUCCUUCUUGGGCUCAAGGUCCUUUCCCUCUCUUCUGCAUGUCCUUUGUCCCAAGUGAUAGAGAAGUUCCAAGCCCCAGACUGGGACAAGGAGUCAGGGAGCUCUGAAUCUGGUCCCAGAGGGGACAGGACAGUGCCUCUGCAGAAAGCCAGCUUUCUUUCCACCCUGUGUCUUGGCUCUGGAUAACGAUCCUCUCCAGAGCACUUGAGGCCUAGAGUCUUUUUUUAAUGGAAACAAGAGACUCGUAAAUCCCCAAGCCAGACUCCCUUGAAGCUCCUGGCUCAGCCCCGGCCUCCUGGGCUCUCUGCCAUGGGGAACGUCUCCCAAUCUGCUCUCCUUCUCCCCAGACUUCACACAUUGACUUCUGGCUCUGGCGCUCCAGCCUCUACCCACCUGGCUGGAGGCCUUGGGCCUGCUCUGGUCACAAUGGUUGAACAUCUUUGGGAUGAACUGUAGCCCUCAAAUCCUUCUGAAAUUUGGGGUUGCUGGAUCCAGAGAUGCUGACCCAGCAUCCUGGGGACAGUCUUAUAGAUGAGGCUUUGGAGAAGUCCCAGACAGCCAUCAAACCAAGAAAAGUUUAAGUGAAAUCUAGCCACAGUUACCUUCAGUGGAGGCCCCAGCGCCCAGGUCCCUCCAUUCCUUCUGUGGCCCCAUCCCAGGAUGCUGAUCCCCCCACCAGCCCCAGCCAGCUGUCCAGGAGUCUGUCUCUCUUCCACUCUGACGAGGGGGCUCCUGGCCCCUCCCCUCCCCUCUUCCUUUUCCAGUCAACCUUGUCCUUCGUCUAGAGGUCAUGAGCAGAGACCUCCAGGUGCAGCCAGCACUGGGAUAAGAGGAGUCAAUCCCACACUGUCAGGCAGAUCUGUCAAGAGGGCUUUAGGGUUUGUAAUUAGGAGGGCCAGCUGGGCUCCUUCUUCAGUCUCCCCCCUCCCCCCACCCGCAGCCUGGCUGGUAACUUGACUUCUUAAGAUGGAACCAAAAAUAGAAAAAAAAGGAAGGAAAGAAAGAAAGAAAGAAAGAAAGAAAGAGAAAGAAAGAAAGAAAGAAAGAAAGAAAGAAAGAAAGAAAGAAAGAAAGAAAGAGAAAGAAAGAAAAAAAGAAAAGAGGAAAGAAAAACCACUAACCCUCACUUCCUCCCUAUGUUCUAAAAAUCACCUUGUCCUGGGUCUCCCUUCUUAAAUCCUGGAAUCUUAGGUCUUUACCCUCAGGACUCGCAGGAAAAAGUUUCUGAUGGAGGUGGUUCCUGGAAGUCGUCAGAGGAGGGAAGUUUCUUUCCUCUGUGUUACAGCAGGUCAGCCGUGGGGCUCGGGCUGGAACCCCAGCCUCCCCACACGCCAUCCUUGAUUGGAGCCCAUGGGGUGGAAAUCACCUGGAGGGCCCCGGGAGCCCUGGAGGCUGGUCAGACUCAGGCCCUAACUUGCAGGGUGACCUUGAACCCUCUUGGGGUCUCAGUUUCGUCACAGGUAUAGGAGAAUUCCCUCUGCUUUUGAGGUACUCCAGAAAAGCAACUGCCGAGCAGAAGUGUGUAUCAGAGGCCGAGGGAGUCUUACAAGGAUUUGGAGGAGGAGCUGGUCUGUAGUGUCGUGAUUUUAACCCAGAGAGGACCUUGGUCCUGGGGGCCCAGAACGGCUCAGGGAAUGUUGUUAUGACAUCAGAGUGCAGAAAUUCAUGCUGUCACAGCAGGUGCGGGGAGGUCCCCACUUGUUCCUGAAGAUUCAUCUCCUUUCUUCAGGCCAGUUCAGAGGAAACUAGAAUCUGUGGGCACAGAGCUCUAGAAAAGUAUUUCUUGCCGGUUAGGGCAAAUCUGAAGCCCCUCGGGGUGUGUGUGUGGGGGCGUCUUUCUCUACCUUCUCUCCCUCUCUCCUGAGGCUCUGUCUGCACCUCCUGGGCCUCACUGUCUCCAGGUCUCACGCUCUCUGUGGGAACCUCCCCCUUUGAGACCCAAUUACUGGAACCUCCAGGAAGGUUUAACUGAAUAUUUGUAUUGAAAACAGGAGCCAGGGCCCAUGGCCCCGA